GUUUGUCCCUGAGUCCAGUGGGGAUGCCCCCUCUGGCCCCUCCUUGUGACAUGUCUCUUUCGUUUCUCAAAGUACUUCUUGUGAUCUUGCGUGGAGGAGAAACUGUGUUGGCUACCUCCUCCACCGCCGCUUCCACCUACACCGCCACAGUCACUGCCUCCUCAACCGAUGGGUCAAUUAGUAUAAACUAUGUACACAAUAGCAGAGGCUUUUGCAGGCCUUUUCUCCAUGCAUCAGGAGUUGAGCUCAGUUUGAACAAUGAAAGAGAAUACCCUGCUCUCCAACCCUCUCUCAAAUUGAUAAUUCUGGUGAUCCUCCUG